rnacentral:rRNA from 1 species
AGUGAACGCUGGCGGUAGGCCUAACACAUGCAAGUCGAACGGCAGCACAGUAAGAGCUUGCUCUUACGGGUGGCGAGUGGCGGACGGGUGAGGAAUACAUCGGAAUCUACUUUUUCGUGGGGGAUAACGUAGGGAGACUUACGCUAAUACCGCAUACGACCUACGGGUGAAAGCAGUGGAUCUUCGGACCUUGCGCGAUUGAAUGAGCCGAUGUCGGAUUAGCUAGUUGGCGGGGUAAAGGCCCACCAAGGCGACGAUCCGUAGCUGGUCUGAGAGGAUGAUCAGCCACACUGGAACUGAGACACGGUCCAGACUCCUACGGGAGGCAGCAGUGUGGAAUAUUGGACAAUAGGCGCAAGCCUGAUCCAGCCAUACCGCGUGUGUGAAGAAGGCCUUCGGGUUGUAAAGCCCUUUUGUUGGGAAAAAAAAGCAGCAGGUUAAUACCCCGCUGUUCUGACGGUACCCAAAGAAUAAGCACCGGCUAACUUCGUG